CAUCAAGUGAUCUUUCACAUCCUGUGUCAAUCAUAUUGAAUUGCAAGGAAAACUAGGAGCCUCCUGGAAGGGUUUGACGGCUUUGCUGUGGAAAGAAUCAGGAAUGUGAGACUUGGGUGAAGAAUUUCAAUUAAAAGGAAGCCAGGAAGACCUUUGAGACAAGCAGAGAAUCCUACACUUAGAAGCUGCAGAUGGAUGAUUUGGUACAACAAAUGAACCAUUCAGAAGGGAAGAGAUGGGCUUCUCCUUAAACAUUGUUCAUAUAUCUACUGCUUGGUCUUGGAAGCACGCCUGUCAUCCUGCUGAGGAACGGGAAGGCAAUUUCAGACAACGGAAGCAGCAUGGGGAAAGAGAUGGGACAUGAAUGCAUCGGCAUGUGGGAGGGUUGCUGGGAAAAUGGAAAGCUCGCCAUAGCUGGGCGAAGCCAGGAACCGCUCAGGAUAUGCAGCUGGAGGCCGUGGUGAACAUACUGCAAAGGCCUUCUACCGGGAGGUGGCACCGGGCCUGCCCCGCUGCUCCUGUCACAGCAGCUGGCCCCCGUUGGGCACCGCAACCCCAAUAGAAGUUAUGAGGGACUGAAGACCCUAGAGAAAGUCCAGUCCACCGUACGUGCUGCCUCAGGGGCUGCGUGAAAUUAACAGCUGGGAAAUGAUGUCAGAGCUGCCAUCGGUUCUAUAUCACCGCUCUAGGGCAAUAUAUAAGAAGAAUGUGGGUCUUGCUACAGGCAUGCUUAGGCCAUAGGCAGGAGACCUGUCUUUUGGGACGACGGGUCCUGCUGGAGCACGGCCUGGUCAGUGCCUGAGCUAUCUGUUGUUUACAGGCACUGGCUCCUCACAAACAAAUCAACUAAGUGAACCGAGUGGGUGAUAAAGCAGAGCAGAGAACUGCAUUGUCCUCAGAGUCAUAAAAACUCAUCUCUUUUACAACUGCUGAGUGCUUUGCCAAUAUCAUGCCAAGGUGAGAGUGGCGGGGGGAAGGGAAAGAUAUUGAAAAGGAAAAUAAAUGGGCCAGGUAAACAGCGCUGCCGCCGCUGCUGCAGCCGGGUUGUCAUGGCGACCGGGGUGAAGAAGAGGAGGAGGAGGAGGCGGGAUGCGGGCUGAUCGAUAGGCCUGCGCUGGCUCAUCUGGCUUCCAUCCACGUGCAGCUACAGAGGGGGAGAAAAUCAAAGAGCCACACACGGGGCAGACAGGGCCGCGGAUUCGAUACCCGGCAGCAGCCCGGUCGAUAGCUUGUUGGAAGGCGGGUAAUUGACUCCCGUUCUGCCAGCAGAAAGCGACGCGGAGACAGAGGGAAAACACAGAGAACAAAGAGCGCAGAGGAAGAUCUGCUUCUGCAAGAGCAGCCAGUGGGCAGGCGAGACUGAGAUUCUGGGCUUUGCAAAGACCUGCUAGAAUUCAUAGAAAUCAGGACAACGCUUGGGAGGGUCGCUGCCACUCCCAAAAUCAAAAGCAAAUCUAGGAAUUGUGACAGUGGCUUAAUUCAGCCCCAGGGGUGACCUGUGAGUACUCAGCACGCCCAGCAGAAGGUCUGUUCCAGUGCCAGAACACACAGCCGCCUCAUCCUGGGAGUCCUCCUUUACAACAAAACGCGCACACAGCCUCCAGUCACCGACUUGACCUUAGAGCACCUUCAACCUGAGAACCCAGGCCAAUGCCUAUCAGCAAUAUAAUUUAAAUCCUAAACUCUGGUGCUGCAAUGAUGCAUUGUUUUAUGAUUAAUGAAUGCCAUUAAACCAGAAAGCCUCUUCAUCCAGCAGUGAAAACUCAGGAGAAAUACCAGAGUCAGCCACAGUCAAGGGGGCUGAACCAAGAAGAGAAAUAAGUGCUUGUGGUUUAAGAAAUCUGACUUUCAGUCUCCUUUCAAGAUUGCUCCAUCCUAAAUUGUUAAUCCACAUUGAUCUGCUUUCAGAAAGUUCGCAGGGCUGCCUUCUGCCUGUGCAGCUCCCCAAGCAGGAGAAGCCAAGCAGGGACAGGGCACCACUGGAGUCUCUGGUCCUCAACACUGGUGCUAACCUGCCUCCUGUUCCUGGCAGGAAAGCAAAGCCUGGACGUUUUGCUGACACUGCCUCAGGUUCAUUUAGAUACAACUGAUCAAACAGACAGGUUAAUAUAAGGAAGGGGAAGGAAGCAUGCAGCCAGCGGUAACUCCAGCUUAGCCACGUAUUAGUGUGCUCUACUGUCGAUGUAAUCCCACACAUGCAAGGCUUUGUGCUGAGCUAAGCAAAGUUAGCUGCUUGUAAUCAAAGUGCACUUCAGUUAGCUCACCUGCAGUGAAUGCUGGUGAUUAUUUGGGGCUUUACAGCGCAGAUAACCUCAUCAGUGGUCACAGAUGGUUGAGUCGAGACUAUGCUUGAAUAUAGACAAGAACUGCUAUAUAGGCUUUGGGGGCAUAGCAGAGCAGAAAGUGAAAAAUGUGCUGAUUAAACACUUAGA